GACGAACGCUGGCGGCGUGCUUAACACAUGCAAGUCGAACGGAAAGGCCCUGCUUUUGUGGGGUGCUCGAGUGGCGAACGGGUAAGUAACACGUGAGUAACCUGCCCUUGACUUUGGGAUAACUUCAGGAAACUGGGGCUAAUACCGGAUAGGAGCUCCUGCUGCAUGGUGGGGGUUGGAAAGUUUCGGCGGUUGGGGAUGGACUCGCGGCUUAUCAGCUUGUUGGUGGGGUAGUGGCUUACCAAGGCUUUGACGGGUAGCCGGCCUGAGAGGGUGACCGGCCACAUUGGGACUGAGAUACGGCCCAGACUCCUACGGGAGGCAGCAGUGGCGAUUAUUGCACAAUGGGCGGAAGCCUGAUGCAGCAACGCCGCGUGCGGAAUGACGGCCUUCGGGUUGUAAACCGCUUUCGCCUGUGACGAAGCGUGAGUGACGGUAAUGAGUAAAGAAGCACCGGCUAACUACGUG
rnacentral:rRNA from 1 species